UCCUACGGGAGGCAGCAGUGGGGAAUCUUGCACAAUGGGGGAAACCCUGAUGCAGCGAUGCCGCGUGAGUGAAGAAGGCCUUUGGGUUGUAAAACUCUUUCGUCGGGGAAGAAAAUGACUGUACCCGAAUAAGAAGGUCCGGCUAACUUCGUGCCAGCAGCCGCGGUAAU
rnacentral:rRNA from 1 species